rnacentral:rRNA from 1 species
AGGACGAACGCUGGCGGCGUGCUUAACACAUGCAAGUCGAGCGGUAAGGCUCCUUCGGGAGUACACGAGCGGCGAACGGGUGAGUAACACGUGAGUAAUCUGCCCUUCACUUCGGGAUAACCACCGGAAACGGUGGCUAAUACCGGAUACGACCAGCUUUCGCAUGAGAUGCUGGUGGAAAGUCUUUUCGGUGAAGGAUGUGCUCGCGGCCUAUCAGCUUGUUGGUGGGGUAAUGGCCCACCAAGGCUUCGACGGGUAGCCGGCUGAGAGGGUGACCGGCCACACUGGGACUGAGACACGGCCCA